GGCAUUCUAUUUAGGGAGGGCAGGUUUUCUUUUAAUAUUGCUAAGUUUGCCUAUGUCAAAUGGCAUUGGGAAUCUUAUGUAGGUCGGUCCUUUCUCUUUUGUUUAUCCAGUGCUUCUUUUCAGGUACCUAUUUUCUCAUAUUGUAAGUCACAGAGGCUAUAAAAAUAAUGCAACCGACGAAUUUUAUUGCGUUCUGAUUUAUAGUGCAACUCUGUUUAACCAUGUUUAUAUAAAAUAUGCAUGACAAAGUUGUUCAAGAGGAUCAUCCAACUACAUCCAGGUCAAUCAUGGAAAGGGAGGACAUAUCAAUCAUGGAAAGGGAGAAGAUAUUGACGAUUGUAUUUCAACAUCAGAGGCUUUUGACACAUGUUUUUAAAAAAUGUUCUUAAUUUGUACAUCCUUAACCAUCUACUGGGAUGAUAAGUACGACACUCACAGACUUGUCGUUUCAUACUGCAACAUACCCGAUAUAUCAGAUCAUAAUGUCUAUGUUCAUCAUCCCAUUGUGAUGAAAGAAACUGAUGCUCUUUCUGAAUAUUUAUAAAGGCUUGCACUACUACUAGGAUAAACCAUUGUUUCUUUUAUUUAUGAUAAAAAACAAAUACAGCCGAACAUGUUUUCUUC